rnacentral:rRNA from 1 species
CCUACGUGUGGCUGCAGUGGGGAAUAUUGGACAAUGGGCGAAAGCCUUAUCCAGCACUGCCGCGUGAGUGAUGAAGGCCUUAGGGUUGUAAAGCUCUUUUACCAGGGAUGAUAAUGACAGUCCCUGGAGAAUAAGCUCCGGCUAAAUCCGUGCCCGCAGCCGCGGUAAUACGGAGGGAGCUAGCGUUGUUCGGAAUUACUGGGCGUAAAUCGCACGUAGGCGGUUUUUCAAGUCAGGGGUGAAAGCCCGGAGCUCAACUCCGGAAUUGCCCUUGAAACUGGAUGACUAGAAUCUUGGAGAGGUCAGUGGAAUUCCGAGUGUAGAGGUGAAAUUCGUAGAUAUUCGGAAGAACACCAGUGGCGAAGGCGACUGACUGGACAAGUAUUGACGCUGAGGUGCGAAAGCGUGGGGAGCAAACAGGAUUAGAUACCCCUGUAGUC